GAUGAACGCUGGCGGCGUGCCUAAUACAUGCAAGUCGAGCGAACGGACGAGAAGCUUGCUUCUCUGAUGUUAGCGGCGGACGGGUGAGUAACACGUGGAUAACCUACCUAUAAGACUGGGAUAACUUCGGGAAACCGGAGCUAAUACCGGAUAAUAUUUUGAACCGCAUGGUUCAAAAGUGAAAGACGGUCUUGCUGUCACUUAUAGAUGGAUCCGCGCUGCAUUAGCUAGUUGGUAAGGUAACGGCUUACCAAGGCAACGAUGCAUAGCCGACCUGAGAGGGUGAUCGGCCACACGGGAACUGAGACACGGUCCAGACUCCUACGGGAGGCAGCAGUAGGGAAUCUUCCGCAAUGGGCGAAAGCCUGACGGAGCAACGCCGCGUGAGUGAUGAAGGUCUUCGGAUCGUAAAGCUCUGUUAUUAGGGAAGAACAUAUGUGUAAGUAACUGUGCACAUCUUGACGGUACCUAAUCAGAAAGCCACGGCUAACUACGUG
rnacentral:rRNA from 1 species